UACGUAGGGGGCUAGCGUUGUCCGGAAUCAUUGGGCGUAAAGCGCGCGUAGGCGGCCCGGUAAGUCCGCUCUGAAAGUCCAGGGCUCAACCCUGGAAUGCGGGUGGAUACUGCCGGGCUAGAAUCCGGAAGAGGCGAGUGGAAUUCCUGGUGUAGCGGUGAAAUGCGUAGAGAUCAGGAAGAACAUCGGUGGCGAAGGCGCUCUGCUGGACCAUAACUGACACUCAGGGACGAAAGCGAGGGGAGCGAAUGGG
rnacentral:rRNA from 1 species